rnacentral:tRNA from 1 species
AGAAAUAUGUCUGAUAAUAGAGUUACUUUGAUAGAGUAAAACAUAGAGGUUUAAAUCCUCUUAUUUCUA